rnacentral:rRNA from 1 species
UACAGGGGGUGCAAACGUUGCUCGGAAUCAUUGGGCGUCAAGCGCACGUAGGCGGUUCGUUAUGUCGGAUGUGAAAGCCCUUGGCUUAACCGAGGAAGUGCAUCCGAAACUGGCGAGCUAGAGUACGAAAGAGGAUCGCGGAAUUCCGGGUGUAGUGGUGAAAUGCGUAGAGAUCCGGAGGAACCCCAGAGGCGAAGGCGGCGCCCUGGCUCGCAACUGACGCUCAGACACGACAGCAUGGGGAGCGAACGGG